rnacentral:lncRNA from 1 species
NGAUCGGGGUAUCCCAGCUGCUAAUUCCCCUCCUAACAGCCCUGCAGCGCCUGGAUUGGAGGUGUGACAGGUGGCAUUUUUGGCCCGAAGUCCCUAGGCAGGACGGGUGGCUGUAGCCUGCGCGUUUGUGUAAAUUAACCUCCCUUUUUAGUUCUGUGAAGGGAGAACGUGAUUAGUUUAAAAUCACCUGCGUGAAAGAGGCUCUUGAUUAGUUUAAAAUCACCCACGUGAAAGGGGCUCUUGAUUAGCUUAAAAUCACCUGGGUGUUUCGUUUUAUCUCAGUUGGCCUCUGAAUGUUUAUCCUACAGCUUCCUGCAAGCUCCAGUCUACCUUCUAAGGGAAUAACGGGGCUCGUCUUUCUACGUUACUUUAUGUGGGAGUAGUUGUAAAACAGAAUGAGGGAGACCGCGGGGAUUGUGCGGAAAUGUAGCCACCGUUUACAUGUCGGGAGGCUGAGGUGGGAGGAUCGCUUGAGCCCAGGAGUUUGACACCAGCCUGGGCAACAUGGUAAGACCCCUUCUCUACCCUCCCCCCCAAAAAAAAAAUUUUAGUGUGGCAUGGUGGUGGGUGCCUGUGGUCCCAGCUACUCGGGACGCUGAGGUGGGAGGAUUGCUUGAGCCCAGGAGUUUGACACCAGCAUGGGCAAUAUGGUAAGACCCCAUUAUCUACAAAAAAAAAAAAAAA